rnacentral:lncRNA from 1 species
AGGCUCGAUUGCAGAGGGACCCAGGCCAGAGAUCAGGAACAGAGGCUCCAGGCAGAUUGGCGGCAGCAGCAAAAACAUCACAGAGGUCCCCAAAUUAUCCUGGGCUUUUCUGCACCUGCCAGCGAAGUGACCUUCUCUACUCACCUGACUGGCCCUGAGCUAACAUCCGUGUCCAUCUUCCUCUACUUUCUAUGUGGGAUGCCUGCCACAGCAUGGCUUGACAAGCGGUGCCUAGGUCUGCACCUGGGAUCCGAACCAGCUAACCCUGGGCCACCGAAGCAGAAUGUGAAAACUUAACUGCUGCACCACUGGGGCAGCCCCACAAUUAUUUUCUUUUAAAGAGGCAGAAGGUUUCUAACUGAGAACAUCCCAAUUUUGCAAUACAUAACCCAGAGGGCCGCCACUGGGAAUU